rnacentral:tmRNA from 1 species
GGGGGUGAUCGGUUUCGACGGUCGGUAGUGUCUUGAGAGAAGCGGGUCGAGGAAGUGUCCUCAUCUCGUAAACGAUGGAUACGAAACAAUAAGUGCUGAACGUAACAGUACUGAAUCCUUCACCUUGGCUGCUUAAUCCAAGGGAACUGAUUCCGUCAGCCCGCAGUUGCUCUAGCUGCGGAUCCUGGCGUCGUUUUUAGAGCCACUGGAAUCGCCUGGGUUACUUAGGUUGAUUCGAGAUUUUAGGUAACUUUAGCCUCACGUGGCCCGGUCUGUGGGUAGCGUGGGGCCGAGAAUCUAAUACAGACUGCACCCGGAGAAGAAGCAAGUAUUCCCGAUCGGACAGGGGUUCAAUUCCCCUCACCUCCAC